rnacentral:rRNA from 1 species
UACGUAGGGUGCGAGCGUUGUCCGGAAUUAUUGGGCGUAAAGGGCUCGUAGGCGGUUUGUCGCGUCGGGAGUGAAAACCUCGGGCUUAACUCGGGGCUUGCUUUCGAUACGGGCAGACUGGAGGUAUGCAGGGGAGAACGGAAUUCCUGGUGUAGCGGUGAAAUGCGCAGAUAUCAGGAGGAACACCGGUGGCGAAGGCGGUUCUCUGGGCAGUACCUGACGCUGAGGAGCGAAAGUGUGGGGAGCGAACAGG